UUCAACCCACAACCUUCUGACUCAGAGAUGAAAGUGCUACAACUGAACUCGACUGACACAGAUUGCCAUUUAGGUUGUUCUCAAGGACUCUGAGAUGUCCUCCUAUGUGACGGGUAGUGUUGUUGCUGUUAUUGUAGCCUUACUUGGAGAUGUGGAGAUGUGGAGAUGAAGAAAUAUUUUGCACAGCAGGCGGCGAAUUGGUCCAAGUAAAUUGCUUUCCCUGGCAGAGACAUGAAGGGGCUGGCUACAAGUGUUGACUGGUAACUGUCCCCAGGGGUAACAGAAAGAGACAGAGACAGAGAGACAUGUUGCUCUUUCAGCCCGAAUCCUGUGCUGGAGAUUGAUGGCCGGUCUUCAGAUGUCUAUAAGCCUGGCUUAGUGGUAGGACUCUCGCCUCUUGUUGUUGGGAAGACUACUGUGCUGCUACAAUGGAAAUGGGAGCUGGUCCAGGAAGGCUAAAGUGGAUUAGACAGCCCACAGCGCACCAGUCAAGCUGUGAUGUAAUUCACAUAGUAUUCAUUACCCUCCAAUAGCCCCCACACACCCCCCCCCCCGUCUUGACGACCUUUCAAAUA